AGCAAUUUAUAAUUUGGCAAAAGGUAUCUGUCUUCCAUGUGUAUAAUUUUUUAUUGAAUUGUAAAUAAUUAUUAACAAGUUAAUUUUUUUUUUUUUAAUUCUGAAUAAGAUGUGGUCAGAGAUGCGAGUGUUUUAUUUAUAUAUCUAUUGCUGCUUAAUGGUGUUUUUAUGGAAGAUAUUUAACAGACUACUUUAUUAAUUUGUAAAUGUUAUGUACUGUAUUCAUCCGUCUAUAUAUUAACAAAUAAAUUUGUUAAUUAGUUUUGUAUUGUAGAUUUAAUAUAAGACGAAGAAUUAGUACAAAUUGGCAAACUUUUUAAGCUACAUUUAAAUACAAAAGCAAAAAGAUAAUAUAAUAUAUAAAAUAUAUUAUAUAUGUAUGUAUAUGUAUUAUAUAUAUAUGCUAUAUCCAACAAUGUAUGUAUAAUAAACGGUAAACCCCGCUUUUGAUCAUUAUUGAAUUGAAAAGGCAUUACAACAUGUUUGUUUAAUAUCUAUUAUUAAAUUUUGUUUUAAGUUUGUAUAAUACUUUUGUUAAACUUAAAUUAUUGAAAACUGGAUUUAAGAUUUAUAAUAAACUUUGAACUUUUAA